CCCGAACACGGAACAGUUAUGGCACGCAGAUCAGACUAUUUUCCCAUAUAUUCGAACAUGGAACGGUUAUGUAUGAAUACAUACUUAUCACUUCGCCAAUACAUCCGUAUACGAAACAGUUAAGUAUGGUCACAUUGAAGCCUAACAUAAUGCAGGUGCUUUUAGAAAAACUUUUUUCCAUAACAAGUGAUAGACACAUAUCAAAAUUACAUUUUAAAAAUAAAAAGCGAAAUAACACUUAU
rnacentral:lncRNA from 1 species